CCUACGGGAGGCAGCAGUGAGGAAUAUUGGUCAAUGGGCGCGAGCCUGAACCAGCCAAGUCGCGUGAGGGAAGACGGUCCUAUGGAUUGUAAACCUCUUUUGUCGGGGAGCAAAAGACGCCACGCGUGGCGUUCCGAGAGUACCCGAAGAAAAAGCAUCGGCUAACUCCGUGCCAGCAGCCGCGGUAAUACGGAGGAUGCGAGCGUUAUCCGGAUUUAUUGGGCGUAAAGGGUGCGUAGAUGGCAUAGUAAGUCUUUUGUAAAACUGCUGGGCUCAACCCAGUAGGGCAAAAGAUACUGCAAAGCUAGCGUAUGCCAGAGGCAAGUGGAACUACAUGUGUAGCGGUUACAUGCGUACAUAUAUGUAAGACCACCAGUGGCGAAGGCGGCUUGCUGGGUCGAUACUGACAUUGAGGCACGAACGCGUGGGGAGCAAACAGGAUUAGAUACCCGAGUAGUC
rnacentral:rRNA from 1 species